GCCCAGAAGGCAGAUGGUAUCUGAGGGCGCAUUAAAAAUAACAUGAGCAGGAGGUCCAGGAGGUGAUCCCUUCAUUCUGCCCUGGUGAGGCCACAAUUGGGCUCCUGUGUGCAGCUGUGGGCUCUCCAAGGCAGGGAACUUCUAGGGAGAGUCCAGCAGAAAGCCACAAAUACAACUGGAUGCCUGGAGCAUCUCCGUUACAAGGAAAGGCUGAGAGACUUGGGUCUGUUCAGCCUGGAGAAGAGGAGAUUGAGGGGAUCUCAUCAAUGCUUAGGUGUUCCAGGAGUGAAACCUCUUCUGUUGCUAUAUGCUGUGUCAGCACUGGGAGGCUCUACUGAUUCUCUGUGCUGAGGUGAGUCUUCUUGGCAGAACUGGCAGGAGUGAUUCAACUGAUCCCCAUCUCUGCGUGGUGAAUUACCAUGCUUGGCACAUGCAGGCUUGUCUGGAUUGCUGCUGCUCAGCCAGGUAGCACAGAAUGAAUUUGCAGAGCAGUCUUCUGACAUGCGUGAAGCAGCGCCAGUUAUUCAAGUCUUACAUGGACGAGGAG